rnacentral:rRNA from 1 species
CACGUAGGGGGCAAGCGUUGUCCGGAAUCAUUGGGCGUAAAGAGCGUGUAGGCGGUCCGGUAAGUCGGCUGUGAAAGUCCAGGGCUCAACCCUGGGAUGCCGGUCGAUACUGCCGGACUAGAGUUCGGAAGAGGCGAGUGGAAUUCCCGGUGUAGCGGUGAAAUGCGCAGAUAUCGGGAGGAACACCUAUGGCGAAGGCAGCUCGCUGGGACGUUACUGACGCUGAGACGCGAAAGCGUGGGGAGCGAACAGG